UUUCCGUAGGUGAACCUGCGGAAGGAUCAUUCUUAAUAAAUGUUUUAUGGCACUUUUUAAAUCCAUAGCCACCUUGUGUGCAAUGUCAGGCGUUCUCUUCUAUGGGUACGACCAAACAUUAACCAACUCUUUAACUCUUUGUCUGGAAAAUAUUACGAAUAAAAUAGUUCAACAUACAACUUUCAACAACGGAUCUCUUGGCUCUC
rnacentral:misc_RNA from 1 species